UUUGUGUUUUGGUUUUUAUACGACCGCAAAAUUUGAAAAAAUUUUCGUCGUAUAUUGCUAUCACGUUGGCGUCGUCGUCUGUCGUCGUCGUCGUCGUCCGAAUACUUUUAGUUUUCGCACUCUAACUUUAGUAAAAGUGAAUGGAAAUCUAUGAAAUUUUAACACAAGGUUUAUGACCACAAAAGGAAGGUUGGUAUUGAUUUUGGGAGUUUUGGUCCCAACAUUUUAGGAAUUAGGGGCCAAAAAGGGCCCAAAUAAGCAUUUUCUUGGUUUUCGCACUAUAACUUUAGUUUAAGUUAAUAGAAAUCUAUGAAAUUUUGACACAAGGUUUAUGACCACAAAAGAACGGUUGGGAUUGAUUUUGGGAGUUUUGGUUUCAACAGUUUAGGAAUAAGGGGCCAAAAAAGGGCCCAAAUAAGCAUUAUUCUUGGUUUUCGCACAAUAACUUUAGUUUAAGUAAAUAGAAAUCAAUGAAAUUUAAACACAAUGUUAAUGACUACAAAAGGAAGGUUGGUAUUGAUUUUGGGAGUUUAGGUCCCAACAGUUUAGGAAUUAGGGGCCAAAAAGGGACCCAAAUAAGCAUUUUUCUUGGUUUUCGCACCAUAACGUUAGUAUAAGUAAAUAGAAAUCUAUGAAAUUUAAACACAAGGUUUAUGACCAUAAAAGGAAGGUUGGUAUUGAUUUUGGGAGUUUUGGUCCCAACAGAAUAAGGGGCCCAAAGGGUCCAAAAUUAAACUUUGUUUGAUUUCAUCAAAAUUGAAUAAUUGGGGUUCUUUGAUAUGCCGAAUCUAACUGUCAUGACUGUGUAUGUAGAUUCUUAACUUUUGGUCCCGUUUUCAAAUUGGUCUACAUUAAGGUCCAAAGGGUCCAAAAUUAAACUUAGUUUGAUUUUGACAAAAAAUGAAUCAGUUAGGUUCUUUGAUAUGCUGAAUCUAAAAAUGUACUUAGAUUCUUGAUUAUUGGCCCAGUUUUCAAGUUGGUCCAAAUCGGGGUCCAAAAUUAAACUUUGUUUGAUUUCAUCAAAAAUUGAAUAAAUGGGGUUCUUUGAUAUACCAAAUCUAACUGUGUAUGUAGAUUCUUCAUUUUUGGUCCUGUUUUCAAAUUGGUCUACACUAAAGUCCAAAGGGUCCAAAAUUAAACUUAGUCUGAUUUUAACAAAAAUUGAAAUCUUGGGGUUCUUUGAUAUGCUGAAUCCAAAAAUGUACUUAGAUUUUUUAUUAUGGGCCCAGUUUUCAAGUUGGUCCAAAUCAGGAUCUAAAAUUAUUAUAUUAAGUAUUGUGCAAUAGCAAGUCUUUUCAAUUGCACAGUAUUGCGCAAUGGCAAGAAAUAUCUAAUUGCACAAUAUUGUGAAAUAGCAAUUUUUUUUUUAAUUAGAGUUAUCUUUCUUUGUCCAGAAUAGUAAGCAAGAA
rnacentral:lncRNA from 1 species